AAAGCCGGGCAGGCUGGGCCUCAGGUCAGGCCUAGGGCCAUGGCCUUCACAGACCUGCUGGAUGCUCUGGGCGGCAUGGGCCGCUUCCAGCUCAUCCACAUGGCCCUGCUGCUGCUGCCCUGCGGCCUGCUGGCCUGCCACAACUUCCUGCAGAACUUCACGGCUGCUGUCCCCCCCCACCACUGCCGGGGCCCUGCCAACCAUGCUGAGGCCUCCACCAACGACUCGGGGGCCUGGCUGAGGGCCACCAUACCCCUGGACCAGCUUGGGGCCCCUGAGCCCUGCCGGCGCUUCACCAAGCCUCAGUGGCCCCUGCUGAGCCCCAACUCCUCCGUCCCGGGCGCGGCCACGGAGGGCUGCAAGGACGGCUGGGUCUAUAACCGCAGUGUUUUCCCGUCCACCAUCGUGAUGGAGGUCAGAAGGGGCUGGGUGCGUGGGGGGGCUGUUGCCGAGGCCCAGUCUGAAGCGCCCACGUCUUCCCUGCAGUGGGAUCUGGUGUGUGAGGCCCGCACUCUCCGAGACCUGGCGCAGUCCGUCUACAUGGCCGGGGUGCUGGUGGGGGCUGCCGUGUUUGGCAGCCUGGCAGACAGGCUGGGCCGCAAGGGCCCCCUGGUCUGGUCCUACCUGCAGCUGGCAGCUUCGGGGGCUGCCGCAGCGUAUUUCAGCUCCUUCAGUGCCUACUGCGUCUUCCGGUUCCUGAUGGGCAUGACCUUCUCUGGCAUCAUCCUCAACUCCCUCUCCCUGUUGUGGAGUGGAUGCCCACCCGGGGUCGGACUGUGGCGGGUAUCUUGCUGGGGUAUUCCUUCACCCUGGGCCAGCUCAUCCUGGCUGGGGUAGCCUACCUGAUUCGCCCCUGGCGGUGCCUGCAGUUUGCCGUCUCUGCUCCUUUCGUGAUCUUUUUCCUUUAUUCUUGGUGGCUUCCAGAGUCAUCCCGCUGGCUCCUCCUGCAUGGCAAGUCCCAGUUAGUUGUACAGAAUCUGCAGAAGGUGGCUGCAAUGAACGGGAGGAAGGAGGAAGGGGAAAGGCUGACCAAGGAGGCGGUGAGCUCCUACAUCCAAAGCGAGUUUGCAAGUGUCCGCACCUCCAACUCAAUCUUGGACCUCUUCCGAACCCCGGCCAUCCGCAAGGUCACGUGCUGUCUCAUGGUGAUUUGGUUCUCCAACUCUGUGGCUUACUAUGGCCUGGCCAUGGAGCUGCAGAAGUUUGGGCUCAGCCUAUACCUGGUGCAGGCCCUGUUUGGAAUCGUCGACAUCCCGGCCAUGCUGGUGGCCACCGCCACCAUGAUUUACGUGGGCCGCCGGGCCACAGUGGCCUCCUUCCUCAUCCUGGCCGGGCUCAUGGUGAUCGCCAACAUGUUUGUGCCAGAAGGCAUGCAGAUCCUGCGCACAGCCCAGGCAGCGCUGGGCAAAGGCUGCCUGGCCAGCUCCUUCAUCUGUGUGUACCUGUUUACCGGCGAGCUGUACCCCACGGAGAUCAGGCAGAUGGGGAUGGGCUUUGCCUCGGUCCAUGCCCGCCUCGGAGGCCUGGCGGCGCCCCUGGUUACCACACUUGGGGAAUACAGCACCAUCCUGCCACCCGUGAGCUUUGGGACCACCGCAAUCCUUGCAGGGCUGGCCGUCUGCUUCCUGACCGAGACCCGCAACGCGCCCCUGGUGGAGACCAUCGCGGCCAUGGAGAGCAGGGUCAAAGAAGGCUCUUCCAAGAAACAUGUAGAAGAGAAGAGUGAAGAAAUUUCUCUUCAGCAGCUGAGAGCAUCUCCCCUCAAAGAAACCAUCUAAGCUGCCUGGAGCCUGGUGCUUGCUAGCAGCACCUGAGCUGAUGUCCAGACGGCCCCCUGAGGGCUUCUCCCAGGAGCCCUUGGGGACACUGGUGCUGAACUGGAGGAAAGGUCACUGAAAACAUCAUGGCUCCUAUAGAGAGCCACCCACAAGCCAGGGCUGCUUGGAGGGAAACCCCACCAGAAACAGCCAAUCUGCGUUAGAAAUGCAUAGAAAGCCAGGAGAAGCCAGUCCCAGGGACCAAAGGAGAGACUGUUUUCCUUUCCCAUCCCCAAUCUGCCCCUUAAAAUGUCUCUGUAUUAGUCCCUUCUUGCACUCCUAUAAAGAACUACCUGAGACUGGGUCAUUUAUGAGGAAAAGAGGUUUAAUUGACUCACAUAUCUGCAGAUUGUACAGGAAGCAUGGCUGGGAGGCUUCAGGAAACUUACAAUCAUUGCAGAAGGCAAAGGGGAAGGAAGCACAUCUUCACAUGGCUGGCAGGAGAGAGAGAAAGUGAAGAGGAAGGUGCUGCACACUUUACAACAGCCAGAUCUCGUGAGAACUCUUUAUCACGAGACAGCACUAGGGUGGUGGUGCUAAACCAUUAGAAACCACCCCCAGUAUCCAAGCACCUUGCACUAGGCCCCACCUCCAACACUGGGGAUUACAAUUCAACAUGAGAUUUGGGUGGG
rnacentral:sRNA from 1 species